UACGGAGGGGGCUAGCGUUGUUCGGAAUUACUGGGCGUAAAGCGCACGUAGGCGGCUUUGCAAGUUAGAGGUGAAAGCCCGGAGCUCAACUCCGGAAUUGCCUUUAAGACUGCAUCGCUAGAAUCAUGGAGAGGUUAGUGGAAUUCCGAGUGUAGAGGUGAAAUUCGUAGAUAUUCGGAAGAACACCAGUGGCGAAGGCGACUAACUGGACAUGUAUUGACGCUGAGGUGCGAAAGCGUGGGGAGCAAACAGG
rnacentral:rRNA from 1 species